UUUCCGUGAGAGUGUGACAAAGAGAAUAGAAGGAGAAUAAGUUUCCUUACUUGAUUUGUUACACAUGACAGGGUAUUUAAAGACAUACAAGAAUGCAUAAACAAUGAGAAGAUAGUACAAGGGAAAGAAUAAACAAAGAGGAGGCAGAUCCGCGGAUGGCUCGUUCAGCAAGAGGGAUAGUGACAGCUCCCAACGGUCAGCUCCCUCUCUCUUCUCUUAGACACACCCGUUGUUGAACUGAAGAGAAGAAUGGAGCUUGUACAUAUAGGGGCAAGCUCUUGAAGAUCUUAAGAAGAGUUCUAUGAAGCUUCAGAAGUGAUGAGAAGCUGAUACAAGAUUGGGGCAAUGUCCAAGAAGGGUUCUAAUCAGACAUGGGAGAACAUUGGAGGAGUUUAGGCUGCAAUGGUUAAUGAGAAAGUUAGGGCGAUCCGUACGGACGGCCGUACGGACUGUACGGACCGUACGGACCAGGGCGUCCCAAAACUUAUCAUCUCGACCACUUAAGCAUAGUUGAGGAAUGUGCAAGCUUAGGGCACAAUGUGUACGGCCAGGAAGUCCGUACAGCAUGGUCUGGUCAUGACUUGGGUCACAAGGCAUGGAGAAACUCAUUUGGACCUUAUACAUGAAGAAGGGAUCAAAAUGGCAUCUUGGAUGGCCUUGGAAAGGAUCAGGCAAGAUGCUGUCCGUGUAUGGAUAAGGUCUUCACUCCUAUUGGCUUAUUCAGUCCACAAGACAGCUCAUGACAGCCUGUGUAAAGACCAGGAACGCCCAAGCUUCCUAUUGGCCAAGCAUGUGAAGCUUAUGGUCCAUAGAAUUCAAAAUAAGGCUCCUCCUUGUUUGACUUCACAUGUGUGAUGUAUCUGACUGUAAACCCUAGUAGAAAACAGUCUGUCCUAUUUAAAUAAGAGGCAGAGACGAUUUGUAAGCUCUAAGUGAGUAAGGGGGUUUCCCUUCUCCUUCCCUAAUCUUCAGUCUCUUAUUCUCUCAGUCUCUCUCUAGUCUCUCAGUCUCUUAAUCUCAUUCUCUUUAGUCUCUUAAACACUUAAACACUCUCACCCAUCUCUGUUCUUAAAUCACCUAGAACUAAGCUCUCAUCUUUCUCCAUUGGAGUUUAUACACACAUACACACAACCAGAGUAGAGAUCUCUUUAAAAAUCAUACC
rnacentral:lncRNA from 1 species